GGUGUGGAUACCGGUAGAGGCGUCACGCGUGGGACGCUCGGUCGACUAUAUUAAAUAUUCCAGAGAAUUUCAAAUUGUCAAGUCUCUGAUAUAUGGCUAGAGAUGGAGCACCGUUACCUUAAAGAUGGACUUCUUGUGCUGAGCUUUCAGCUUGGACUUCAGCACUCGAGCAGCGAUCUCAUCGAGCAUGUUCUCAGCAUCAUAGACUGCAUCCCUGAGCUCAUCCAAGCACUUCCGGAUAGUCGGAUCAGUUAACUGCUUCACCUCAGCCUGAGCCAGCACCACGUUCUCAGCUAAAGCACUGCAUUUCAGCCUAUCCAACAGCCGCUCGUCGAGCUUCCUCAACUUGAACAAUCCAUAAACGUUGCGAGGAGACAACCAUUAGAAGAUGACUUGAAGACCGGCGGAGAUCUGGGGUUGCAACCAGCAAGCUCUCAGCCAUGGCUUCUCAGGAGGGAAAGCAAUGGAAAUGGAAUUGAUCAAGAUAAUGGGAGAGGUAAGAAGGAAGCUAUUUGGAAAGCUGAAGCUUUUAAGAUUUUAGUUGCUGGAAUUUCACUUUCGAGCAUUUAUUAUUUAGAAAUGACUGUUAACAUACGCAUUUCUUUUUUGCUAUUUGUUCGUCGUCCGCGAUCUUUUCGGUGAAUUUGCAUUAAUUCGCAAUUCAACAUAGGUAGUAUCAGCUUCUGAAUUUCAUGCUGUGCCGACUUUUCCCGGUCUAGUUCAGUCAAGUCUCCGUGAUGUUAGAAGUGAAAUAGGAGCAACCUGGACACCAAUGUAAAAGUUUGAGGGCUGAGACGAGAACAACUAUCUGGUCAAAGUUGAGAAAUGAGGGGCGUCAAGAUCAGGUCGACAUUUUCGUCCACUGAGCAUUUUAUCAUAGUGGAAAAUAGAUUAGUCAAUUUUAGUCAAUGGGCUCGACGUUUUCGUCCACUGAGCAUUUUAUCUUAGUGGAAAAUAGAUUAGUCAAUUUUGAUUAUUUGCUUUAGAUUUGGUUGAUUAGUUACAUAUUGACCAGUCACCACAAUCACGAGCAUCAUCUUUCCUUGCA